rnacentral:lncRNA from 1 species
GAUGGUCUCAAUCUCCUGACCUCAUGAUCUGCCCGCCUCGGCCUCCCAAACUGCUGGGAUUACAGGUGUGAGCCACUGCACCCGGCCUAUCUCUUUUUUUUCUUAGAAGUACAACAGUCCUAUUGGAUUAGGGCCCCAGUCUGUGACCUUAUUUAUUUCCGUAAAGGCCUUAUCUGCAAAUACAGUUGUAUUGGGACUUAGAACAAUAUAUGGAUUUGGGUUAGGGGGGACACAAUUCAGUUCAUUAUAUUCUGCCAUCUGGCCCCCCUCAAAUUUAUGUCUCUUCACUUCAAAAAUACAUUUACCCCAUCUCAACAGUUCUGAACAUCUCAAUUCAUUCCGGCAUCAACUCCAAGUUCAGAGUCUCAUCUAAAUAGCAUCCAACUCAGGUAUAGGGGAGACUUGAGGUAUGAUCCAUCCUGAGGCAUAAUUCCUCCCAGCUGUGAUGGGAUGGUACAGGCACAGGAUAGACAUUACCAUUCCAAAAGGGAGAAACCAGAAGAAAGAGCUUCUAAGCAAGUCCAAAACCUAGCCAGGCAAAUCCCAUUACAUCUUAAGGCUAGAGAAUCAUCCUCUUUGGCUCCACGCUCUGCCCUCCAGGCCCUCUAGGGUAGUGGCUUUGUCCCUGAGGGCUGUGGUCAGAGGCAGCUGGGUUUGCUGUAACUAAUAGAGGUGGCCCUACCCUGUGAAAUCAAGGAGUAGGCAGGCCUGCCCUGUGCUUAUAUACUCUGUCUUGGUGGCAGUGGCAGCACUGGGGGUCUCUAAAUUGCCCUUGGGAUCAUCCUUCCUUUUCUUGAAGGACAAAGAAUGUUUGCAUCCAGGUAGCUCUGCUGUCAGAAGUCCAAAAGCCUUACUUUAUUUUAUUCCAUGUCCAUCCCCUUUAGUGCAAGAUGCCAGUGUCUCUGCUGGUAUAAUCCCAUCUCUUGUCCUUGCUUCUGCUGAGAUGGCUGAUUAAGUCUAGGUAAUCUCUUUAGAGGGGGAGUGUCCAGCCACACCCUUGAUUUUUCUCUCUGUAACACUCUUAUUUUUUGCAAUAUGGAUAGCCUGAGAAUUUUCUGACUCUAGUUCCUGAUUCCUUGUUGCUUAACAAUUUCUUCUUUAAUUCGUCUUUUUCCUUUUGCAUUUUAAAGUAACCAGUAAGGAGAAACCAGGUUGUAUCUUCAACACUUCCCUUACGAAUCUCCUCUGCUAAAUAUCCAAGGUUGUCACUCACAAAGCCACUUCUCCAUUUCUAUGUAGUUGUUACGGUGACCCCUAUCUCAUGAUCCAAAUCUGUAUUUAGGGUUCUCCAGAAAAACAAGCAGUAGGAUUUUUUUUAUAUGUAGGAGAUUUAUUAAAAGGAAUUGGCUCAUGCAAGUAUGGAUUCUGGUGAGUCCAAAAUAUGCAGCGUGGGCCAGCAGCCUGGAAACAUGGGAGAGUUGAUGGUGCAGAUGAAAGCCAAAGGCAGUCUCUUGCUCAGGAAAGUCAGGGUUUUUGUUCUGCCCAGGUUUUUCAGCUAAUUGGAUGGGGCCCAUCCACAUUAUGGAGGGAACUGUGCUUACUGAGAGCUCACCAACUUAAAUGUUAAUCUCCAAAGAUUCAUUCCGGAUUGACACAUAAAAUUAACCAUCACUGGAGGUAAUGAUAAUAGUCUAGAUAAGACAGGCCAGCACCAAUAGAGGUUUAAAAAAAUCUGAGUGAAAAUGGGUAUUACAGACCAGAAAACAUAAUUGGAUGUGGGAGUAAGUGCAAAAUUACAAGCCUUUGGUUUUGCAAAGAUGGUGGUACCAUUUUUCUAAAAUGCCCAGGGCAGAAGACACUGCUCUUACUGAGAAUCAUUGCUCAGAAAGUGAUUCUCCACCUCGGCUACACGUAGAAUCAUCUGGAAGAUUUUAGGAAUCUCUGUGUCCAAGCUAUGCUGCAUACCAGUUAAAUCUAAAUUCUUGGCGUAAGGCCAGGCGUGGUGGCUCAAGUGUAUAAUACCAGCAUUUUAGGAGGCCAAGGCAGGCGGAUCACCUGAGGUGAGGUGAGUUUGAGACCAGCUUGGCCAACAUGGUGAAGCCCCGUCUCUACUGAAAAUACAGACAUUAGCCGGGUGUGGUGGCACAUGGCUGUAAAUCCCAGCUACUUGGGAGGCUGAGGUAGGAGAAUUGCUUGAGCCCAGGAGGUGAAGGUUGCAGUGAGCUGAGAUUGCAUCAUUGCACUCCAGCCUGCUGGGCGACAGAGUGAGACUCCGUCUCAAAAAUAAAUAAAUAAAUGAAACAAAUAAUAAAUACAUUCCGGAUGUGAGACCGGGCAUCAGUAUUUAAAAACCUCUCUAGGUGAUUCCAGAGUGUAACCAGCCUUGAGAACCACUAUUGAAAGAAGCAGAGUCAUGAGAAGCCUUUUAAAAAAAUUCUGCCCAACAAAAUCCUGGAGUACAUCAGCCCAAGUUUCAUUUCUGUGCUGCUUUCUUUUCCUAGCUGGCCUUGGUCGCACGGGCACUCUGAUAGCCUGCUACAUCAUGAAGCAUUACAGGAUGACAGCAGCCGAGACCAUUGCGUGGGUCAGGAUCUGCAGACCUGGCUCGGUGAUUGGGCCUCAGCAGCAGUUUUUGGUGAUGUAAGUAGUAGCCUACGUCUGUAGUUCCCAGGGAACAUGUGGGGUUGGCAUCUGAUGGGGAGUGGAAUUUCCUUUAGUUUCCAAUAACAACAGAUAAUCUGGUAGGAAGAAGUUGUUCAUGUAUCUUUCUGGAAAGCUCUAUUUUGAUGUUAUUUAAAUGCUCUAGGAAGCAAACAAACCUCUGGCUGGAAGGGGACUAUUUUCGUCAGAAGUUAAAGGGGCAGGAGAAUGGACAACACAGAGCAGCCUUCUCCAAACUUCUCUCUGGCGUUGAUGACAUUUCCAUAAAUGGGGUCGAGAAUCAAGAUCAGCAAGAACCCGAACCGUACAGUGAUGAUGACGAAAUCAAUGGAGUGACACAAGGUGAUAGACUUCGGGCCUUGAAAAGCAGAAGACAAUCCAAAACGAACGCUAUUCCUCUCACAGUAAUUCUUCAAUCCAGUGUUCAGAGCUGUAAAACAUCUGAACCUAACAUUUCUGGCAGUGCAGGCAUUACUAAAAGAACCACCAGAUCUGCUUCAAGGAAAAGCAGUGUUAAAAGCCUGGUCCCUCAGAGGAAAGGAAGGACAAGGAGUGCUUUGCAGCACGUGCCCCUGGCGGCGUCAUGGUACUUUCCUGGCCCUGCUGCCCCUGCCCGUCCGUCUUUUAUGAUUUUUAUUUACUCGUAUUGGUUUUUUUAAAUUUCUAUUUUUUGCAGAACUGAGCCUUUUUCUGCCCUGCCUUUCUCCUGUUUGUCUUUCCUUUGUGGUUGAUAUUGUGUUGUCUUCUCCAAAGUAUUUGUCAUUAGAAACUUACAGCAAGCGUAUACUUUUUAGCAUGUCAGUAUUUUUAUUAUGUUGCCCUCCUUGUCUUUGAUAACUGCCUGUGGACGCUGUGUAAACUUUCUGGUAAAAAUCCUUUUUUUUCCCCCUGUAGUCUCUCCAUUUCAAGGACUAAAACAGUCUUGCGUUAAGUAAAAACCUGUGACCAGAGCUGAAGGAAGACUCUAGGACUGAAAACUGCAACAGAAAUUAGCACAAUUUGAAAACAAAACAAAAUUGCAAAAGCCUUAGUUGCUUUUUCCACCUAAGAAGUUAAUCAAUGGAGAAAAUGUCCACUGGAGUUUGAAUAAUGAACUUUGAGUUUGGGUGCAAGCAAAUGACUCAGAGAAGGGUCCAGCUCUCAAGCUGAAUGACAAACAUGCUGUUGUAAAUUUAGUCUCAGGUGUAAAUACCCAAGCCCUCUGGUACCCAGGGAGCUGGCUGGUCUGUGGUGCAUGUGUGUCCCUGUGAUGGCAAUCAUUGUAGUUGCUGGCCUUCAGAAGAAUUGAGGAUCUGAUGGAGGUUUUUUAUGUAUUUAUUUUCUGUUCACCUUGUGACCCUGUGUCAAAAUUUAUAAAGAUACAAAAGGCAUUACUGAAAUGGUACUUUCUGUAAUUUGAUACUAUUUGGCUUAAUCAUCUUCACUUGACUAUUUGUAAUACUGUUGUAAUGUUAACUCUGUUAAGUACCCAAGCUGCUUGUCUUCCACCAAAGAGUGCUUUAUUAACAAGAAUCUGUGAAAAUCACAUUUAAACACUGUUGCAUGUUGUAAGACCAGGUGGUACCUUAGUAACCUAAAACUUGCAAGAGAAUAUUAAUGGUAGCUUUAGAAGACUCAGGAGGAGAAACUGACUUCAGAGUUGGAAGAUGUUGCAAGUCGUUCCUUUUUCUGUCCUUCAGGGACUGAAGAACUGGGAGGCUGCCCAUUGUUUGGUUGCCAGUCAUACAAAUUAAAAUCAUAUUUCCUUCCGUGAAUGGAAGAAACACACUAUUGGUUUUUCCCCUUGGAAACAGCAAUCCCAAAUAAUGUCGGCUUACAAAAAAAGAAGUUACCACUUUUUGAGAGUCCUUCCCUGUAACAUUGGAUUUUUUUUUUCCCUUAUGAGAUCCACCUAAGGCCAUUGACGUGGCCUGCGAUCUCAGUGACAAUGAUCUGCUUCUGGAUCUCACUGUUGCCUUUGGUUAGGGAACACAACUAGUAACUCUGCAGAGUGCCUUCUCCCGCAGCCCUACUGGAACACAGCAGAGUCUGUGCCAUGAAGCAAUUACAGAAACAGAAUUGAUGUGCUGCUAAAAAAAAAAAAAAAUGGGGCCCAAAAUAAAAGAAUAUAUAGUACUCACCUCAGUUCCUUCCAUAAGAAGUGGGUGGUUUAAUGAUUGUUAAGCCAUUUUUGCCUGUGCCGGGAGCAUGGAGGGCUGAGAUGUCGACAGGCAGUGGGAAACAAAUGCCCUCCUAAGCCACAAGGCGUGCGCCAGAUCAGUAGGCAACUCCAUUUUAAGAAGCUGCCUUUUUCACAAAACUGGAAGAAAUAAAAGCGGUUGGAAUAAACAAGUUAAAAGUCUUUAAUGCAAAAAGUAAUUGAAAGGCAGUGCCUCCAUUUUGGUGUACUUUCUUGGAAGAAAGUAUAAAAUUGACCGGCAUCAUGAGAGACGGAAGAUGCCGUGUUCUCAGCCAAACAAGCAACUCUUUCCCCGCCAGGCACUGUCGGGUGGGGUCAGGCCAGCUUUUAAACACUGGGGACUGGAUCACAGAAAAACAGUGGUUUUCUGUCCCUGGAAAUGAAUAGGCACAAAGACCCACUUGGCUGUGGGCAGACUACUCUUCAAUAAGAUUUGGGUGGGAGGAGGAACAUUCCUUUUGCUAUUUUGAGCUGAGACAAUAUAAAUAUUCAAACUGUGCCAUGCAUAAAGCAUUGAAUUCUCAGGGCACCUCUUCUUCCCCUUACCCCUUUUAAGGCCAUCCCCUCCAUUAAUAAUAAUCCAGGUAGUUGUGAAAAUCGUGCUUCUAUCUGAUCCCUUCUUAGUUUGGCUUUUCAUCCCAUCAGAACAAGUAAACGUAGGCGCCACAGCUCUUGUGAGUACUGUCUCCCUCACGGUGAAUGAGCCUCCUGGUGUUUCGUCCAAGAAAAGAAAGGGUGUCACUGGAACCACAGCCCUUUUUCAUUUUAUAAACUGCCUCUUCAUGUUGCCUGCUCAAGUUUCCACCUAGAAUUGCUAUCACUGUGGCUCUUUCUAAAAAUCUUUCUAUUUAACUGGUUCACUGAAAUUAGUCAUAGAAAACUUGUGAUUUGGUGAAGAGGCAUUCCUUGUAAUAACCAAAUGACUUGGGAUGGUGUGCAUAGCAACAGUGUUACACUUACGAGGACUGUCUCUAGCAUCCAGGAAGUCUCUGGGUCUGAGGGAUGGAAAGUUCUUCCUGCUAUGAAUGAGAGUGGACUCUUCCCCUCAUCCCCAACUGAAACCACAAACAACCAGAAUCUUCUGGAAUUCUGACUUAGAGUCGUUGUUACAGAAGACCUUGUUGCUAUGGAACAUGAAACUCUGUGUCAGAUGGAGAGAUCCCCUUAACCUAAGAGCCUUAAAUAGCCCUGAAAGUACACCGGGACGGUUUGCAAUGGAAUUAAAAUUGGAAGUGAAUAUUUUUAGGUGCUCUUGAAGCUUUCUGGGGACUCAAAAUUAUCAAGAGUCAGGGACAGUCCGGAGGAAGAGCGUCUGCAAAACUGGGUUCCUAGAAGUACAGAUGGACUUAGCUUUUUGUAGAAUUUGGUGAGGAGCAGCGCCUCGUGAGAGCAGAAUGGCCUGGCGUGGCCAGUGCUUCCCGGCAGCACGCAGCUCUGCGGCCUCCAGAAUUCCCCUGUUCUGAGCUUGAUGCCCCUAGCCUGUCCCCUACCUACUUCCUCCCCUCCUCUCUAGCCCUCUCACAGGGGUGAUUGCUACCUCUCUGUUUUCUUGGGCCUAGGCAAGUUUUAGAGGAGUUCCCAAGCAUUGUUAUGAGGCCAGUGUGCUCGAGGCCAGUGUGCUUGCUGGGCGGGAUGGCCUGGGCUUGUGUGUGGCCUGAGGGCUCUCCUGGGGCCUUCUCUUUCCCCAGUCACCUUUGGAGCCACAGAAGCAGUGCACUCAUUGGAUGUCUGUUCUUAACACAGCUUCUCUUUCUACAUUAAAAAAAAUCAUUAUUGCAUUUUGGAAAGCAGUGCUCAUCAAAAGCAACUUUUAAAACCUAUUUUAUUGUUCCUUUAAAUGUUCUCUCCCGCUGAAACUGCCCUGGAGAGGCUAUCUGCUGCUCUUCCAUUUACCCACAUCAGGGUAUUCUCCAUGUCACUCAGUGGAGAUGACUCCAGAUGUGUUUAAAGACUGGACAAUUCACCUAUACUGUGUAGGAAAUUACCUCCUUAAUUACCUGGUAGAAUUGUCAGCAGACAUGUUCAUCCGAUGAUAGUACUGCAGUUUUCUAUUAAUAAUUUGCAGACUUUUAUCUAACCUGCACUCAUGUACAGAUUAUUAAAAGUUUUAAAAUGUAACUGAUCAGUAUUGAUCAAUCAUUGUCUUGAUUUUUUUUUACAGCGUAUAUUUCUAAUCAUAUUUUUUAAAGCCAAGAGAACUGGUUGAAUGAAUGUUUAUUUUCCUGAAGGUAUUUUUAAGAUAAAGCUUCCUAAUGGCGUGUAAACUUUGCAUAUGUAUGUAGUUUGAUACAUAUUGUCACAUUUGAAAAUCUUGUGGGUUGUAACUGGUUUUAUACAAAAUAUCGAAUAGUGGAAAUUGUAUAAUUACAAUCAUGUAAUUAAAAGUAUUAACCCAACA